GGGCUUUGGACGAGGUGGAGGCAGGAGGAAUUGCACCUCAGCGUGGGAAUGUGCCGCCCUUGAAGCAGAGGGUACUCCAGACUCAGGAGAUGGAGAAUAUUAACAUGAAUCCACAGGAACGAGGAGGGGAGUGUUUUUGCAUGGUGGCGGUGUUUGCAUAAGCUUUUACUGUCAUAAAUAAGUAGAUCAUGGUUGAGGGGACAGAUUCAAUAUGGAAAAUAGGGAAUUCAUUUUCAGGCUUCCAAGACAGUACUAUAGACAGGGCUGAGAAAGAGGAGAAGUGUUAAAAGAUAGGGAAAUGUGCCUUGAAAGUGACUUUUCAAAGAUCAGCGAUAAUAUUCUUGGUGUCUGAGGCACCCGCGUUUAAUGAGGUAUAAAGCAGAAGGGGUUGGGAGGAUUUGGUCCAAGUGAAAACAGAAUGAGCGUGGGACUGGCAGAUGGGAGGAAUGUUAGCCCACUCCUUGGUGAAGUUAUUGCUUCUUUCUCCUGUUGUUGCCUACAGAGGGACUUGACAGAAGAUACUUAGCGGGGAGGGGAGUACAGCCUUCCUGUUCUACUUUAAUGUUGCUGGCUGUAUUUUUCUCCAUGGGGAAACAAAGGGCCAGCGGUCCUGAGUUUGUAUCCAAUGUAAAUCUAGAGCAAGUCUAUCAACUUCAAUAACACCUGCAAUAAGCCAUGACUGGCCCUUUCUGAACAGAGAAGAGAAAUGAACAGCUGUAACUUCUAGAUGCUGAAUUUUUUAGUGUACUUUUUUUUUUUUUGAGAUUUAUGACUCUUUUAUUCUCCAUUUGAGAAUGUAGUGGAGCAAUUGCUGAUCCAUGCAUGCAUGUAUAUGUGAGAAAAUGUCAGCGGAGGAGUAAUACGUAUGGAAGUCUUGCACAGAGAUAUGGCAAACUGGCCACCUGUUCUCAGAUGAUGAAAUAAUUAUACAAAAAUAUCUCUCCUGAAAUAAUGAUUGAGGGAAGAUGUGGUAGCAGGGUUGGGGGAGGUUAAUGAUAUUUUUAAGUAGUUUGCUGUACUUAUUACUGACUCUCCUGCUAAUUUUACUGCUUCAGAUGCUAGUUCUUCAGUAGGUGGUGGUUAGGGCUGCAGAGAUGUAUAGGUUUCAUCAGAGGGACGAGUCCAAUGGCUGGAGCUAGCUGAAGAGAUGGGAAACCUACCCCCGGGUACCUUCUCUGUCACAGACAGCACAGAGGCGGGUCUGCUUCUGGAAAGAACGUUGUAGCAAAUACGUAACUUUAUGCAGUGUGGUAAAAAUGGUUAAUUCUUUCUUCAUCCCUCUCAACCCUUCACUAUCUAAGCCUUCUUUGUUGCUGCAAAUUCCACAUAGUUUCAUACAAAGCCUCUCUUUUGAACGUACUACAGUUCUCAUUCCCAUAUUAACUUGCUAAACCUACCUGAAACGGGCACUUCAUUUCAUGGAGCAGAAUAUCUAUGUAUUUUCCCAAAGGUGGUGGAAAUGUCCCCAAAUGGUUUGCUGAUCUCUGCUCUCUCUCUUUGGUUAUUGCCAACUCCUGACUGCAUAUGCCUAGUUCAUAGUCUAGAGAUGAGUGUCACUGAGGACUUCCUGGGGACUACUUCGCAUCUGAAUGGUGACUUGUAAUGAUCAAAGACAGUGGGCCAGACCACUGGUUUAUGUAGUGACUGGUGUUAGUCCACUGAAGACCAAACAGCUGCUCCAAGUUUCCAUCAUCUCCAGUGAAAACAAGUACAACUGCAUCAGCUCGCAGCCAGUUUGCAAUAAACCUGCUCCCUGGACUGUGGGUUAACCUGGCUAAGUGUCUCCUGGGGUCAGGUCUGUUACUCUUGUGUGUGAAAAUAAGUCUUGGUGUGCUUUCUGAUCUACUGGAGUGUAAAUAAAGCAAGAAGGUCUUUCACUUA